rnacentral:rRNA from 1 species
UGAAGGUGAAAUCCCCGGGCUCAACCUGGGAACUGCCUCCAAAACUACUGAGCUAGAGUACGGUAGAGGGUAGUGGAAUUUCCUGUGUAGCGGUGAAAUGCGUAGAUAUAGGAAGGAACACCAGUGGCGAAGGCGACUACCUGGACUGAUACUGACACUGAGGUGCGAAAGCGUGGGGAGCAAACAAGAUUAGAUACCCUGCUAGUCCACGCCGUACUCUAUGUAUACUACCCGUUGUCAUCGUUGACAUCAGAUUGCCGCGGCCCACCCAGUGAGUCGACCGCCUGGGGAGUA